rnacentral:lncRNA from 1 species
GAAUGGCCCUUUGUUCUGCUGUUUAAUGACUAAUUAUGAUGCUAUGCUGGAGUUGCGUAAGAAAUAAUUACAGAAUCCAGCCAGGGCUUGCUUCUUGCCACAGGCUCCAGGCUUUUACCCCCGGUAGCUUUACAUGCUUGUUAAUUUUUAAACUGUCGAGUAGUAGCAGAAUAUUUUGUAAGCUUCAGUAAUGAUGAUGAGGACUUUUAUUGCAUGUAUGAAUGUCCCCAGAGGCUAUUACUCAAAAGGGCUCAGCUAAUAAAUAGGAGAACUA